GACGAACGCUGGCGGCGUGCUUAACACAUGCAAGUCGAACGGAAAGGCCCUGCUUUUGUGGGGUGCUCGAGUGGCGAACGGGUGAGUAACACGUGAGUAACCUGCCCUUGACUUUGGGAUAACUUCAGGAAACUGGGGCUAAUACCGGAUAGGAGCUCCUGCUGCAUGGUGGGGGUUGGAAAGUUUCGGCGGUUGGGGAAGGACUCGCGGCUUAUCAGCUUGUUGGUGGGGUAGUGGCUUACCAAGGCUUUGACGGGUAGCCGGCCUGAGAGGGUGACCGGCCACAUUGGGACUGAGAUACGGCCCAGACUCCUACGGGAGGCAGCAGUGGGGAAUAUUGCACAAUGGGCGGAAGCCUGAUGCAGCAACGCCGCGUGCGGGAUGACGGCCUUCGGGUUGUAAACCGCUUUCGCCUGUGACGAAGCGUGAGUGACGGUAGUGGGUAAAGAAGCACCGGCUAACUACGUG
rnacentral:rRNA from 1 species